rnacentral:rRNA from 1 species
UACGUAGGGUGCAAGCGUUAUCCGGAAUUAUUGGGCGUAAAGAGCUCGUAGGCGGUUUGUCACGUCUGCUGUGAAAACUGGAGGCUCAACCUCCAGCCUGCAGUGGGUACGGGCAGACUAGAGUGCGGUAGGGGAGAUUGGAAUUCCUGGUGUAGCGGUGGAAUGCGCAGAUAUCAGGAAGAACACCAAUGGCGAAAGCAGCUCUCUGGGACGGUACUGACGCUGAGACGCGAAAGCGUGGGGAGCGAACAGG